rnacentral:lncRNA from 1 species
AUGUGUUCUAUUAAAAUAAAAUUUUAAUGAAGUAUUCAAAAAUUUCACAUAUUUGAAACAUAACUACAUGCGAUUUGAAAGAAGACUCUGCUUUGUUCACCAUAAAUUCAAUGUUCAUAAAUAUUUUAGAUAAACACAAUUUAAAUCUGAUUAUAAAAACUUACAAUAUUGUUAAAAGCAAGCUGCCACCUGACACAUUCAGAAAAGCACAUGUUCUCAGAGACUAUUUUAUUAAGCCACAUAUAUUGAUAUUGUAACCAAUAUGUUAGAAAAACAACAAUUUUUGAAAAUGUAAUUAGCACAAUUUUUUAAGAAGAUAGGAAAGAACACAAAGAUACAAAUCCAAUGUACUUGACACAUUAAUUUGAGGCUGAGAAUAUUUGACAUCUUCAUCAUUCAGGUGGAAGAGGCUUCAGAUGUUACUGUUCUCAUUAUUUUCCAGGUAAGUACAGAUGAAGAGGCAUUCCAGAAGU